rnacentral:rRNA from 1 species
UACGUAGGGGGCUAGCGUUGUCCGGAAUCAUUGGGCGUAAAGCGCGUGUAGGCGGUCCGGUAAGUCCGCUGUGAAAGUCGGGGGCUCAACCCUCGGAUGCCGGUGGAUACUGUCGGGCUUGAGUACGGAAGAGGCGAGUGGAAUUCCGUGGUGUAGCGGUGAAAUGCGCAGAUAUCUGGAAGGAACACCGGUGGCGAAGGCGGCCACCUGGACGGUAAC